rnacentral:rRNA from 1 species
UACGAAGGGGGCUAGCGUUGCUCGGAAUCACUGGGCGUAAAGCGCACGUAGGCGGAUCGUUAAGUCGGAGGUGAAAUCCUGGAGCUCAACUCCAGAACUGCCUUCGAUACUGGCGAUCUUGGAGUCCGGGAGAGGUGAGUGGAACUCCGAGUGUAGAGGUGAAAUUCGUAGAUAUUCGCAGGAACACCAGUGGCGAAGGCGGCUCACUGGUCCGAUACUGACGCUGAGGUGCGAAAGCGUGGGGAGCAAACAGG